CCCAACUAUCCCUAUUAAUCAUUACGUCAAUCCUAGAAACCAACAAAAUAGGAUCAAACGUCCUAUUUCAUUAUUCCAUGCUAAUGUAUUCAAGCGUUAGCCUGCUUUAAACACUCUAAUUUUUUCAAAGUAACAGUCCUGUUUCCCUGCAACACCAAAUUAAUGACAUUACAGUUCUUCAAGAAGGUAGAGAUUUAUCUCACCAGUACAGACAAUUAAGCCUGACCAAUGGGUAAACCCCGAAGUUCAACUACGAGCUUUUUAACUGCAACAACUUUAAUAUACGCUAUUGGAGCUGGAAUUACCGCGGCUGCUGGCACCAGACUUGCCCUCCAA
rnacentral:misc_RNA from 1 species